UUGAGAUAACGUGGAAUUUUCCUCCCAUGAAAGGGACGACAACAACGAGUUACGAAUUUUAGAGUAAGAGCACAAACGCCAAAUACACACAGACACAGUGCAUAAAGGGUGAUAUAUAAAAUCCAAUGCCACUUCACGGCUUACUCUUUCCUCUCUCUAAAAUCUUUGUUUCUCUGCAAAUUAAACCCUCUUUCGCUCUCUCUAAUGGCUAUAAUCUCUCUAUCACUCCAUCACUUCAAUUUCUCUCUCUAAAAUUCCUCUGCUCCCUCUCUCUAGGGUUUCAACUUUCACCUUACCUUCUUUGUCCAUCUUUAAUGUGAAUUUUCUACUUUAAUCAUACUUUUUACUGUUGACGAAAAACUUUUACUUUCCUUUUUCUUUUUUCGCACGCUUGUUUGUGUAUACGUUCUUUUUGAACGGAUUUAUAAGUUUAGGGUUUAUAUGUAGUGGUUUUUUCGUGAGUUUGGUGAACUCCGAUGUCGUCGUCCGCUGCGCCGUCGUCGGCCACGAAGGCUUGCUUCAACACCAACUGCAAUCAAUUUGUUGAACGGCCGAAGAAAGGUUGGCGCCGUCGCACCGGCGAGUUCGCUGACCUUUGUGAUCGUUGCGCGUAAGCUUUUCUCCUUUCUUUAACCUUUUUCGAAUUUUGAAUUUUAAAUUUUUUGACGCUUUUUUUGUAGCAUUAUUUCAAAAGACAAAUUAUUGAGUAACUGAAUUGACAAGUCUAAAUGGAAAUGAUAUGGUAAAAGAAAUAUACCUUUGGCUAUUAUUUACGAAGAUUUGAAUUUUUUUCUUCUGGUUUCCGAGUAUUAUAUCGUAAGGCUUACUUUAGAUUUAAAGUUUAGCUUAAUUUAGCUAAUGUUACUUGGUCUGCACUGCUUUAGGUCUAUGAUGUCUUUAUUAUGUUUCAUGUGAUUCAAUUAUGUGGAUACCGACGAAGGAGUGGUUUUGCUUCUGCUUGGGUUAAUAGACUGAGGAUAUGUAUUACAAUUUCAAGACCUUUUCCUUUUCUUGCACCGAAACAUUUUAGAUGGAAAACUAUCCACGUAAAAGUUGUUAUUUUUAUAUGGAUACCCUCUUUAUACCAUUUUUGAUUACUGCAUUUCACAUUCCGCCAGCCUAGUUUUGACCAAUUUUUUUUGAUAAGUUGUUUAUGACCAAAAUUAUGAUAAGUUAUUUCCUUAUUAAAACAAAAUAUUUUAAUAAGUUAUUUUUGACCAAAAUUCUUGAUCAACUUUAUGGUUAAGCGAAAUUGGAGAUGUAAGUAAUUGUUUCUGUGUUUUAUAAAUAGUUGCAGAAUGUGGAACCACAUAGAGAUACUGCAAAUUUCAAUCCCUUUUUGCUUUGAAAUAUGUCUAGUACCUGACGAAUGCUCGUCAGCAAAUAAAUUAGUUUACCUCCACUAGGCAGAAAGUAAUAACCUUUUCUGGGGGUGCUAAAAUUUUGUUCUCUCAGUAAAAAUUUCUGAAAAUAAAUAAAUUUAAUGGGAAUUUAUUUUUUAGGGCCAUCAUCAUUCCAUGAGUUUGUUCCUUCUUACAUCAAUCAAUUGGUUUAAUUUAUAAAAAAAUAUGACCCCAUGAUUUUGGUCUGAACUUUGUCCUAACUAAAAUCACCGUCUUGGGAUUAGGAAACAUGUUUUCCUGUUAACUCAGUUCUGUGCUAAAUCCACUGAAGAGAAAUGAGCUCAACUUUGUUUAAUAAAGAGACAUAUCAAGGCUUUUAUUUAUAUCAUUUGCUGUACUGUGCUAUUUAGGUACUAAACUAUCCGUAACCAUAUGUAACCUGGCAUAUAAUGUGCUUACCAGGAGAAAACAUUAGGUUUCGUAGUAAUGAUACCUUUAUGCUAGCUGUUAUAGACAAGAGGGGUUGCUCUGAUGGUAAGCAACCCACACUUCCAACCGAGAGGUUGUGAGUUC
rnacentral:lncRNA from 1 species